UACAGAGGGUGCGAGCGUUAAUCGGAAUUACUGGGCGUAAAGCGUGCGUAGACGGCUAUCUAAGUCGGGUGUGAAAGCCCCGGGCUCAACCUGGGAAUUGCAUUCGAGACUGAAUAGCUAGGGUACGGUAGAGGGAAGUGGAAUUUCCGGUGUAGCGGUGAAAUGCGUAGAUAUCGGAAGGAACAUCAGUGGCGAAAGCGACUUCCUGGGCCAGUACCGACGUUCAGGCACGAAAGCGUGGGGAGCAAACAGG
rnacentral:rRNA from 1 species